GCACCGGCUAACUCCGUGCCAGCAGCCGCGGUAAUACGGAGGGUGCGAGCGUUAAUCGGAAUUACUGGGCGUAAAGCGCAUGCAGGUGGUUUGUUAAGUCAGAUGUGAAAGCCCGGGGCUCAACCUCGGAACUGCAUUUGAAACUGGCAGACUAGAGUACUGUAGAGGGGGGUAGAAUUUCAGGUGUAGCGGUGAAAUGCGUAGAGAUCUGAAGGAAUACCGGUGGCGAAGGCGGCCCCCUGGACAGAUACUGACACUCAGAUGCGAAAGCGUGGGGAGCAAACAGGAUUAGAUACCCUGGUAGUCCACGCUGUAAACGAUGUCUACUUGGAGGUUGUGGCCUUGAGCCGUGGCUUUCGGAGCUAACGCGUUAAGUAGACCGCCUGGGGAGUACGGUCGCAAGAUUAAAACUCAAAUGAAUUGACGGGGGCCCGCACAAGCGGUGGAGCAUGUGGUUUAAUUCGAUGCAACGCGAAGAACCUUACCUACUCUUGACAUCCAGAGAAUCUAGCGGA
rnacentral:rRNA from 1 species